UUAUUAUAAAUCAAAUGCUAACAAAGUCAAAUAUUUUACAAAUAGUUAGUGGGAAGCCGAGAUACAAUCUGGGCCCCCACUCCUCUGGCUAUAGCAAAACCUAUCCUGGUGAAAAUAUGAGCAGCAGCACGAGCUCCAAUGUCCUGUGUCCUAGAAAACUUCUGAAUCUGCUUCAACAACGCACCAGCAUCCUUAUCCAGCUCCCCCAAAGAAGAGAAAGAGAAAGAGAACGGAAGAAAGCCAUAACCAAUGGCCCGGCAACGUGCUUCGUACUUGACCCGCUUCCUGUAGACACCUACUUUUGUCCCCAUUCCCGAAAGGGAAAGGUUCGAUGAUGAAAACAUAAAUCUCCACUUGACAACGCAUCUCCUAUAAAAUAACGAAUCUCAUUACCCCUUUUCAUUUCACCUGAAACCUGCUAUUUAUGAAAACCUGCUAAAAAUAGUAACUGCCGUAAAGAGUAGCUUCUAAAAGUGGCAAGUCAUAAAAGAUAGAAACCUGUCAGAAUUAGGUGUUGCACUCCAAUGUAAAUCCUAAGGGGGCGUUUGGUUGGGGGUAUUCUGGAAAGGGAAUGGGAAUGGGAUACUAUCAUUCCCUUUGUUAUUGUUUGUUAGGCAUAUUUGACCAUUCCCUUUACCCAAUUUCCUUUUUGGGUUACCCAAAAUCCUUCCAACCUGAUUCCCCCCACCCCCCAGACUUUGGCAUUCCCUUUCCCUCCUUCAUUUCCCCACUCCCUCUCUCUCCUCUAACCCUAGAUUUUCAACAACCCAACUUGCAGACAUUGGAGUCUCCCACUGGACGACCACCGGUGUGACACACGGGAUCUUACCUCCGACUACUCACUUCACUCCGGCCGCCGUCGAGAAAUGGCUCGAAUGGGUACUUCUAUGAGAAGGUGAAGAAAUUAGGACUUUAUUCGUUUUAUAGUUACCAUGAUAAAUUGUGUUGUAUUGCUACAAUUGAUGGCUAUGGCCUAAUUAUCGAAAAAUCCCUUGUUUUGUACUCCGUACUUGUUAUCAAUUAAGUUGAACAAUUUGGAUGGGUAAAAAUAUUUCUUAUUUUUCCUUACUUAUUUAUUUUAAAUAAUGAAAAUUUAAGGAAGAAAAUUUAAUUAUAUUACA